UUCCUUUUUUUUUUUGGUUCACCUCUCCUCGCUGACGUCCUAUUUCGUAGGAUACGUGUCUUCUUCCUCGGAUCUACUUUCCACGUGUUUCUUUUUUGCUUCUUUCGGAUCUUCACCGACUUGCCUUCUGCUCUGUCGUUCUUUUCUUUCUCAGGUAAUCUCUCUCCCUUUUUUUGUAUUUUCUUUACAUUGUGCUCUGUCUUUUACGCAUGUCUUUUUUAAUGGAUAUUCGGGCAAAGCGGCCAGCUAUAUGUUGUUCCUCCUCCUCUGCUCCUCGGUCGCGCAGGUCUAGACGUCUCGAUUUCUUUUCUGCCCUUCCUCGAUAUGUUGAUUCUGGUGAUUGUAGCUGUGUUUGUGAAUUCUGUGGUGCGUAUUUUUGGUAUCUUGAAAGGGUUGCAAUGUUUUCGACACCUGCUCAUCCGAGGUAUAGUCAUUGUUGUCAGGAUGGAGGUGUUGUUCUUCCAUAUCCUCCUGCAUUUGACCCCGAUUUCGUUGCUCUUUAUGAGAAUUGGAGAAUCGAAGGGUUCCAGCUUUACCAAUCGUUUGUAACAGUGUCGACCAGUGGCGGCAUAGGCGCAGGCCAGGGAGUUUUAGUUAUCCCAGCCACCUGACGACAUCGAAAAACAAGGAAGCACCAACUUUUCCCAUUGAUCUGCAACCUUCCUGAGGUGAAAGUUAUACUCGAUCUAUAAAAGAAGGAGAAGCUGCGAAUUUGGAGGUAGUGUGAUCGAUUUUGAGAAGGAAAAAGAGUGUGGCUUGUGCGAAUUGGUGAUCGAAAUCAGAAGAGAGAGAAGAACCUGUUAUCGUUUUGAUCGAUCUUUAUGUUUGCUAACAAAAAUCCAACUUCCUUGAAUUUCACAUACCAGGGGCAAAUCACCAAAUUACCCUUGAUUACAAUUUGUGGAGAAAUCUUGAUGCAUAAAUCCACAAUGUGACUGGAAUCCUACGCUUUGAACGCGAAAACAAAGCUGAAAUGCAGUAUUAAAUAUGGG